rnacentral:ncRNA from 1 species
AAGGCCUGAUGUGUGUGAGAUUACCCGCUGAAUUUAAGCAUAUAAGUAAGCGGAGGAAAAGAAACUAACUAGGAUUCCCUUAGUAAUGGCGAAUGAACAGGGAUCAGCUCAGUGCCAAAUCGGAAUCACUUGUGGUUCUGAAAUGUGGCUUGAAGGCAGUACCAGUGGCAUCGCGGACGAAAGUCUCUUGGAAAAGAGCGUCAUAGAGGGUGAGAAUCCCGUGAGUCGUUCGCCGUUUGUCACGUACGGUCUGCGUUCUAACGAGUCGCGUUCCUUGGGAUUGGAGCGUAAACGGGUGGUAAAUUUCAUCCAAAGCAAAAUAUAUACUCGAGACCGAUAGCACAAAAGUACCGUGAGGGAAAGGUGAAAAGAACUUUGAGAAGAGGGUUAAAUAGUGCCUGAAAUCGUUGAGAAGGAAGCGGAUGCCGCCGUUGCAUAUGCUGAUUGUAGGAUUGCUGCUCGCUCCUGUCUUCUGCUACUCAUUCACAGACCUGGUCGUGUUGAGCAGUUGUUUGGCAGAUGUUAGUGGUGUUUCCUACUUUCAGUCGUCAGCAUCACUGGCUGAGUGGAAAUAAUCCUUGGAUGCUAAUUGGUCGUCGUCGGCUGGAACUAGCUAGAGAACUAUAAGAGGCUUGGUUGAUCAGUCGUCUGUGAGGGUCGUCUUGAGGUGUAGCCUUGGAUCUCACGGCUGGCUGAAAAACGGGCCAUUGAAAGUAUCGAGCAACUGACUGAAGUGGCCAGGCGACGCCCUUUUUCCCCCCUUUUUUUUGUACUUUCGGCUAACUCAACACGGAUUGCGCUUCCCGAAACGUGUAUACUGAAACAGCAUCACCCAUAAAUCAAAUUAUUGGUGUAGAGGGCCACCUUGCUGGCCAUCUCGAAAAGUUGGCGACAUGUUCGUAACUUCGACGAGAGGGUCCGUCGGCUAGAUUCUGUUUGCUGGGAACGCGAGUGACCCAGAUUGAGAUGUUAUGUCGCGUGGCUAUACGCCAGAAGCUGGAGACCAUACGGUUUAGAUCCUCUUGACGGGAGCUGCCCUUGACCAGGGCGUACUCUACCGGCUCGCUGUCGACGUAAAUGACGCAAGACUUGUUCUGGAGAACGUUACAGAAGGUUUGUAGUGUCGUCACAGCCGCGAGAAGCUCCAAUGGCACAAUUUGUGUCUUGCGGGCCUGCCAGGACUCUAGAAUCGCCUGCGGAGCGGUCUCGGAAAAGAAUUUAUCCUUGUCGGAGCUGCCAUGAGGAUUGCAGA